rnacentral:rRNA from 1 species
UACGUAGGGGGCAAGUGUUGUCCGGAUUUAUUGGGCGUAAAGAGCGUGUAGGCGGCCUGGUAGGUCAGCUGUGAAAACUCGAGGCUCAACCUCGAGACGCCGGUUGAAACCAUCAGGCUAGAGUCCGGAAGAGGAGAGUGGAAUUCCCGGUGUAGCGGUGAAAUGCGCAGAUAUCGGGAAGAACACCCGUGGCUAAGGCGGCUCUCUAGUACGGUACUGACGCUGAGACGCGAAAGCGUGGGGAGCGAACAGG